CAAAAGGUUUCAGUUGAUGCAUGUGUUGGGUACAUUUAAACAUCUAGUUUUAUCUCUCUAUAUAGAGAAAUUUCUCAAUGCUAGGUAAUUAAGAAAAUUAAGCCAUUAAUUUAAGGAUCCAAAAAAAUUCCUUGGCUCAUAAAAUGGCUAAGCAUUAUCAUGCUCAUCUUGGUAUUUUGGAACAAAUGAUUUCCGAGAACAUAUAGCGAAUUAAUCAAGUAGUUUCGAUUUUGUUAUGCACUAUUUAUGACCACUAAAUUACUUGAAAUAUGAUGUGAUUUGGGAGGUUUUAUUUUCCUUUUUUGAAAUUGAAUUGGGUGUUGAUAAGUGCCCAUGAAGAAUGUCUUAUGUUUGGCAUAUAUGAUUUUCUAAACCAAACAUUACAUGUUAGAAGCUACUAGCUAAAUUUCAAAGUAUUCAUGUAUAAAUAGUUUUAUGAACUAGUUAGUGAAGAUCGUAGAUCAAGAAUUGGUCUUGAGUCAUUCCUCAAGUCUUAGUUCAAUCAAAUCAAUACUCAUAUUGAAUCUUAUUCACCAUGAUUAGAGGAAUGAAGAAUUUCAUUUGUGCAAGUCGAUUCAAUGUAACAUCCUUAGUUGAUUGCAGUUUUAUGGAAACUUUUUUUUAGAUAGCAUGUAAUGUCAAAUAUAGGUAAAUGUGUGUGUCUCUAUAGAAUUCAAUAAAACAUUAAUCUGAGGCAUAAUAAGACUUAAUAAAUUUAAGA
rnacentral:lncRNA from 1 species